rnacentral:rRNA from 1 species
UACGGGGGGGGGCAAGCGUUGUUCGGAAUUACUGGGCGUAAAGGGCGCGUAGGCGGGAUGGCAAGUCGGUCGUGAAAUCCCGCGGCUCAACUGCGGGUCUGCAGUCGAUACGGGCAGGCUAGAGUUCGGUAGGGGGAGACUGGAAUUCCUGGUGUAGCGGUGAAAUGCGCAGAUAUCAGGAGGAACACCAGCGGCGAAGGCGGCGCUCUGGGCCGGAACUGACGCUGAGGAGCGAAAGCGUGGGGAGCAAACAGG